GUACCUUCAAGCUCUGCUUGGUGUUGGGCGUUUUGUCCCUGCCUCUGUGCGGACUCGCCUAGAAUUGAUUGGCAGCCGGCAAUCUGGUGUUGGAGCGCAGCACAAUUUGCGCUUUUGCCCACGAUUACCGGCGUCCAGUAAGCCUGCAUUUUAAC
rnacentral:misc_RNA from 2 species